rnacentral:rRNA from 1 species
ACGUAUGGUGCAAGCGUUAUCCGGAUUUACUGGGUGUAAAGGGAGCGCAGGCGGUGCGGCAAGUCUGAUGUGAAAGCCCGGGGCUCAACCCCGGUACUGCAUUGGAAACUGUCGUACUAGAGUGUCGGAGGGGCAAGCGGAAUUCCUAGUGUAGCGGUGAAAUGCGUAGAUAUUAGGAGGAACACCAGUGGCGAAGGCGGCUUACUGGACGAUAACUGACGCUGAGGCUCGAAAGCGUGGGGAGCAAACAG